GCAUCGAUAGCUCAGUGGCAGAGCUAUGGAGCGUUUGCGGCCCAAUGCGGCCCGGGUUCGAUUCCCGGUCGAUGCA